GCUUGUGGCUCAGUGGUAGAGCACUUGCCUAGCAUGUGUUAGGUCUGGGUUCAAUCCCCAGUAUCAAACA
rnacentral:tRNA from 1 species